rnacentral:rRNA from 1 species
GUGCAGCAGGCGAGAAACCUCCGCAAUGCGCGAAAGCGCGACGGGGUUACCCCGAGUGCCGUCCGCUGAGGACGGCUUUUGCCCAGUGUAGCCAGCUGGGCGAAUAAGGAGAGGGCAAGUCUGGUGUCAGCCGCCGCGGUAAUACCAGCUCUCCGAGUGGUGGGGACGCUUAUUGGGCCUAAACGCAAUCCGUAGCCGGUCUGGCAAGUCCC